GUCUAAUAUAGCUGACAAAAGUAUGUGCCAUCCUAAUAAAAAAUAAUCUUAAACAAGCGAAUUUUAUAUAAAGACUUAUUUGGACAGAAUAUGAGGAUAUUAUUAUUUUCCCAAUUUGAUUCUUCGCAUUGGUUAUUCUUACGUGUGUCUAGUUAUUUUUAAGUUUCGACAUCACGUUUUGUUUGUCUUCACAGUUGUGAUAUUCUUAUCUUUAGUUAUGUACAGAUGUUGAAAAAUUAAGACAGAAAUAAACACACUAAAAUUACAAAAACAAAAACAAACGAAGGAGAAAAGUAAAAAAACAAUGUACAGUCGAAGUGAUUCGGCACUUAACCUUUGUCAAUAUAUACAUGAUAUAUACUAAUACAAUUUUUUAUUUCGGAUUCCGAUGUUUACCAAAAUGAAUAGAUGUGCCAUAUUUAUACGUCACAAUUAACUUUACAUUUCAAUGAUUUUACAAAACUUAAAACUGCCUUUAACUUGAUAAACAAAAUGUUUAUCUAAGUAUCAAGUAAUUGACAUGCUGAAUGAUAUAAAAAGAAUUCAUACUAAAUAUACAUACAUAAUAAAACAAUCAAUAUACAGGACAACAUCUGAGUUACAAGACAUGUAUACACCCAAUAAUUAUUUUCAAAUCAUGACAGCAAAAAUUAAUAUAUGUCUUUUACAUGUUUUUAACAAAAGAAUACAUAUAUAAGCAUAAAUAUUUUAUAAUUAUAAGUUGUAUAAAACGUUUACUUAUUUCUUAUUGAAUGAUAUAAAUCUCAAAAUAUUCUAUUGAAAGAGUUAAAACAAAAUAUCAAUUUAUAAAUCACAUAAUCUACAGAAAAAAAAUCAGAAGGCAUGGUAGACGUGUUAGGGAUUGAGUAUCUCCAUUCUUUAAUUGCGAGAACUGCAACUGCCUAUCUUGAAUUUAUAAUUUAUUAUUUUGUACUAAUUUUCGUGAGUAUUGGUGAACAAGGAAUUUAAGGAAUCGACAACAUACAAGUUCACUAAAAUCUUUAAGAAUUUAACAAACAUGGCAAUAUACAUUUCCAAGACGAAAAUAAAUAAAUUUUACAGUACAAAC
rnacentral:lncRNA from 1 species